AUAUUACUCAUUUGAUCCUCUUCAUAAUGACCCCUAUGAGCUACACACUAUCUAUUGUGAUGCCCAUUUCCAAGAUGUGCAAAUGGAGGCCCUGAGAAGGCAGCAGCUCAACCCUGUGGCAGGGGCCGGACACCCCAAACAGUCAUGGGUCCACACCCCAACAUAUGUUACUCUAUUUAUUUAUCGUCGAGACAUAUGUACUAUUUUGCUAGCCAAGCUGCAUCGUUUGAACGAGGCACAAAAACAAAAUUUAAAAAUAGGCAAAAAUUGUGCAAAACUUUCAAUGUAUGCAAAAAUGAAAAUAAUUAUAAAGC